GGUCUUCUCGCUGUGUGGUGGAGAAGGCACAUGGUGGAAGAGAUUGUCUACAGCUCCUUUCAUGCAACAAUGGCAGAAAUGAAUGUUUGCAACAGAGACCAGAAAGGACUAAAAUGUCUGGGCCUUUGCAGAAAAGUCUGUGAAUCUCUGGCGUUGAGUAAUUCUGUAAUAUCAGCUCAUUUCAGCAUACAUCUUAUGAUCAGGAGAGUUUAAUACGGAAGAAGAAUGAUACUAGAUCCAUUUUUGAUGUCACACACACAAAAAAAAACACAAGCCAACAGAUUCUCCUUCAGUUCCUUAUCUCAGUAAAUGGCAC
rnacentral:lncRNA from 1 species